UUCAGCUUUCUAAUAUUAGUAUAGAUUGAAUGGAUAAUAUUUAUUUACAUGUUUAUAAUUGUUUAAUUUUUAAUUAUAGGUAGAUCCUGGUUUGGUGACAACAACUGAUACACUGAGAAGCUUGGGAGGAGAUUGAUUGAAGGUUUACAUAGCAUGUUGCAACAAAUAAUCUAUUGUUCGCUUAUAGUCUAAGAUCCGAACCCAAAUCGACCUUCACCGGGGUGAAAAUAGAAUGAGAUCAAUUUUAUAAUAAUUUGAUCUCACUCUAUUAUCGCUCCGGUGAUUUAGUUUCGGAUCAACUAGGUACUAUAAAAAUUACAACAAUCAAUAACAUCUAAUAGCAACUACGUGAGAAGAAACAUAUCAAAACAAGUAGCAUAUAAAGGCUUAAAUAAUUAGCUUCCCGAUAGGUAUCAUUUUCUAAAACAUCUAUGCAUCAGACUUUACAAAUGAACAUGGCUUAAAAUAGGGUUCCGCCGUUAUUUUCUAAAUUUAAAACAUCGAUACGCUGUGUCUCGAAUCAGUUCAGUGAUCCCGAGGUUUUAAGGGGUUGUCGUGAUGUGAUCUGGACAAUCAAAACUUCUUACGGACUGUCAGUGGUAGCUACAAGAUAAUAUUGAUUCUACAUAAUAUAUUGGGUGAAGCAUUAUAACGGUGUUUAAGACGUGGAGUUCAAGAACUUCAAGAUUUCAUCAACAGUCAGUCUGCACACGCCGAAUUUAUUAGUAUAUUUGAAUUAGAAAUUUGAUUUUGAACUUAUAAGAUUUCAAAGUCUCUGUUUCAAAAUAUUAUUAUAAAUAUAUAAAUAAUUUAAAAUGAGUUCGUCAAUAAUUAAUAUAACAUUGUAAUAUUGCUGCGUGUAUUGUCCACUCAAAAUGUAUUAAUGAGGAAUUGAUACUGUCAUUUUUGUUCUGUUAUUUUGUUUGUAAAUAAAGUAUUACAUAAAGUUAUUUGAAAGCAUGUAUGAAGAUGAAAACUAGUUAAAAAUUGA